GCUUCCUUGGUGUAGUUGGUUAUCACGUCGGUCUCAUAUCGUGUUGUCGCAUAUGACUUAGCAGAGCUAAGCAAUCCGAAGGUCGCCAGUUCGAGUCUGGCAGGGAGCA